rnacentral:rRNA from 1 species
GUUUGAUCCUGGCUCAGGAUGAACGCUAGCGGCAGGCCUAAUACAUGCAAGUCGAGGGGCAGCACGGUUUUCGGACUGGUGGCGACCGGCGCACGGGUGCGUAACGCGUAUGCAACCUACCCUAUACAGGGGGAUAGCCCAGAGAAAUUUGGAUUAAUACCCCAUAGUACCAUUUGAGGGCAUCUGAGGAUGGUUAAAGAUUUAUUGGUAUAGGAUGGGCAUGCGUUAGAUUAGUUAGUUGGUGAGGUAACGGCUCACCAAGGCGACGAUCUAUAGGGGUUCUGAGAGGAUGAUCCCCCACACUGGCACUGAGAUACGGGCCAGACUCCUACGGGAGGCAGCAGUAGGGAAUUUUCCGCAAUGGGCGAAAGCCUGACGGAGCAAUCUCGCGUGAGGGAUGACGGCCUAUGGGUUGUAAACCUCUUUUUUCAGGGAGGAACAAAAUGACGUGUACCUGAAGAAUAAGCAUCGGCUAACUCCGUGCCAGCAGCCGCGGUAAUACGGAGGGUGCAAGCGUUGUCCGGAUUUAUUGGGUUUAAAGGGUGCGUAGGCGGAUCUUUAAGUCUGUGGUGAAAGCCCAUCGCUUAACGAUGGAACUGCCAUGGAUACUGGGGAUCUUGAAUUCAGUUGAGGUAGGCGGAAUUGAUGGUGUAGCGGUGAAAUGCAUAGAUACCAUCAGGAACACCGAUUGCGAAGGCAGCUUACUGGGCUUGAAUUGACGCUGAUGCACGAAAGCGUGGGGAGCGAACAGGAUUAGAUACCCUGGUAGUCCACGCCGUAAACGAUGUCAACUAGCCGUUGGAGAUCUUAGUAUCUUUAGUGGCGUAGCUAACGCGCUAAGUUGACCGCCUGGGGAGUACGGUCGCAAGAUUAAAACUCAAAGGAAUUGACGGGGGCUCACACAAGCGGUGGAGCAUGUGGCUUAAUUCGA